rnacentral:rRNA from 1 species
GAUGAACGCUAGCGGCAGGCCUAACACAUGCAAGCCGAGCGGUAGAGCUCCUUCGGGAACUUGAGCGCGGCGUACGGGUGCGUAACACGUGUGCAACUUACCUUUAUCUGGGGGAUAGAUAUUCGCAAGGAAGUUUAAUACCUAAUAAUAUAAUGAUUGGCAUCCAUUAUUAUUGAUAACUAGGGUGGAUAGUGAUGGGCACGCUCAAGAUUAGAUAGUUGGUGAGGUAACGGCUCACCAAGCCAAUGAUCUUCAGGGGUCCUGCGGGUGAGAGCCCCCACACGGGUACUGGGACACGGACCAGUCACCUACGGGAGGCAGCAGUGAGGGAGAGUGGACUAUGGGUGAAAGCCUGAUCCAGCCAACCCGCGUGAAGGAUGACGGUCCUAUGGAUUGUAAACUUCGUUUGUACAGGGAUAAACCUACGCUCGUGAGGGUAGCUGAAGGUACUGUACGAAUAAGCACCGGCUAACUCCGUG